ACAAAAACUAUCCUAAGGCAUAUCUACUCCAACCCAUCGACCCUCACCCAAGGAAAAGAGAAAACUACAUCUUCCUCUCCAAGCAAGCCAUAGCCGACCUUCAUCUCUUUCCUUCCUCUUCUCUUUCCAUCUUCAAGAAUGCAAGUUUCCCUCAUCUCUUUCAAGCUUUGUGACUCCAUAACAAGGGAAGAAAACAUCUUCCUCCAUCUCCAAGCCUUGUGUACCUCAUCUCUACCCAUUUUCGAUUUUGCCUCAAAGCUUAGAACUAAAGCUUGAUUUUAUCUUCCAAAUGGUGAAAUCUUGAAGGACCUAUAUUGAUGAUGGAAGUAUUGAGAAUCAUAGAGGUAAUGACGAAAAGGCUAGGGAGCAAGGCAUUACUGCAGAGGGAGAGACAGACGCUUAGGGUCUUCCCUAACUAGAACAAUUAUGUUUAUGGAUGGUGGGUUAUGUUUCUAUAUAGAUGUUUUAUGUUGGGAUGGACUCUGAGAGUCUCUUAUGGAUGAAUGUUUGAAUAUAAUGUUUAUCAGGUGUUCCCUUUAUUAAAUUAAAAAUUUAGAGUA